AUGGAUAUAGAAAAAGUCAAGUCUCUGAGUGUGUACCCCCCUCAGUUGGCAUACUGUGUGGUACAGUUCCAGGAGAAGGAGAGCAGUCUCACUGAGCCGGUGAUUGUGGGACUUCUCAAGUUUUGGCCUAAGACCCACAGCCCCAAGGAGGUAUUGUUUCUGAAUGAACUAGAGGAGAUUCUGGAUGUCAUUGAACCUUCAGAGUUCAGCUAAGUUAUGGAGCCGCUCUUCUGCCAGCUUGCCAAAUGUGUUUCCAACCCCAUUUCCAGGUGGCAGAGCAUGCCCUCUACUACUGGAACAAUGAGUAUAUCAUGAGCCUGAUCAGUGACAAUGCUGCCUGCUUCCUCCCCAUCAUGUUUCCUGCACUCUAUAGGAACUCCAAAAGCCACUGGAACAAGACAAUCCAUGGACUGAUCUAAAAUGCCCUGAAGCUCUUCAUGGAAAUGAACCAGAAACUGUUUGACGAUUGUACACAACAGUACAAGGACGAGAAGCGGAAGAGCCAGUUCCGAAUGAAGGAAAGAGAGGAGAUGUGGCAGAAGAUUGAGGAGCUGGCCCGGCUCAAUACCCAGUACCCUAUGUUUCGAGCUCCUCCACCACUGCCCCCUGUGUACUCCAUGGAGACAGAGACCCCCACAGCAGAGGACAUCCAGCUGCUGAAGAGGACAGUGGAAACAGAGGCCGUGCAGAUGCUGAAGAGCAUCAAGAAGGAUAAAGUGCUGCUCUGGAGGAAGUCAGAGCUUCCACAGGAUGUGUACACCAUCAAGGCGCUAGAGGCACACAAGCGGGAAGAAGAGUUUCUAACUGCCAGCCAGGAGGCUCUCUGACCCCCUCACCUUCCCACAGAGUUCCAGCCCACUCAGGCCUGGGAUGCAGCUCAGCCCUCCACCUUCUGCUCCUUAUUGGCUGACCUAGGGCAAAACAGCACCUCUCUGGCUACUCUAGAGGAUGCAGGCACUGGAAGCGGGAUGCCCAGAGUGCAUCU